rnacentral:rRNA from 1 species
GAUGAACGCUGGCGGCGUGCCUAAUACAUGCAAGUCGAGCGAACGGACGAGAAGCUUGCUUCUCUGAUGUUAGCGGCGGACGGGUGAGUAACACGUGGAUAACCUACCUAUAAGACUGGGAUAACUUCGGGAAACCGGAGCUAAUACCGGAUAAUAUUUUGAACCGCAUGGUUCAAAAGUGAAAGACGGUCUUGCUGUCACUUAUAGAUGGAUCCGCGCUGCAUUAGCUAGUUGGUAAGGUAACGGCUUACCAAGGCAACGACGCAUAGCCGACCUGAGAGGGUGAUCGGCCACACUGGAACUGAGACACGGUCCAGACUCCUACGGGAGGCAGCAGUAGGGAAUCUUCCGCAAUGGGCGAAAGCCUGACGGAGCAACGCCGCGUGAGUGAUGAAGGUCUUCGGAUCGUAAAACUCUGUUAUUAGGGAAGAACAUAUGUGUAAGUAACUGUGCACAUCUUGACGGUACCUAAUCAGAAAGCCACGGCUAACUACGUGCCAGCAGCCGCGGUAAUACGUAGGUGGCAAGCGUUAUCCGGAAUUAUUGGGCGUAAAGCGCGCGUAGGCGGUUUUUUAAGUCUGAUGUGAAAGCCCACGGCUCAACCGUGGAGGGUCAUUGGAAACUGGAAAACUUGAGUGCAGAAGAGGAAAGUGGAAUUCCAUGUGUAGCGGUGAAAUGCGCAGAGAUAUGGAGGAACACCAGUGGCGAAGGCGACUUUCUGGUCUGUAACUGACGCUGAUGUGCGAAAGCGUGGGGAUCAAACAGGAUUAGAUACCCUGGUAGUCCACGCCGUAAACGAUGAGUGCUAAGUGUUAGGGGGUUUCCGCCCCUUAGUGCUGCAGCUAACGCAUUAAGCACUCCGCCUGGGGAGUACGACCGCAAGGUUGAAACUCAAAGGAAUUGACGGGGACCCGCACAAGCGGUGGAGCAUGUGGUUUAAUUCGAAGCAACGCGAAGAACCUUACCAAAUCUUGACAUCCUUUGACAACUCUAGAGAUAGAGCUUUCCCCUUCGGGGGACAAAGUGACAGGUGGUGCAUGGUUGUCGUCAGCUCGUGUCGUGAGAUGUUGGGUUAAGUCCCGCAACGAGCGCAACCCUUAAGCUUAGUUGCCAUCAUUAAGUUGGGCACUCUAAGUUGACUGCCGGUGACAAACCGGAGGAAGGUGGGGAUGACGUCAAAUCAUCAUGCCCCUUAUGAUUUGGGCUACACACGUGCUACAAUGGACAAUACAAAGGGCAGCGAAACCGCGAGGUCAAGCAAAUCCCAUAAAGUUGUUCUCAGUUCGGAUUGUAGUCUGCAACUCGACUACAUGAAGCUGGAAUCGCUAGUAAUCGUAGAUCAGCAUGCUACGGUGAAUACGUUCCCGGGUCU